AGUAAUAUUAAUUUAAUAUUUCACAACAAAACCCUAUUUCCCCAAUUUCAUUUAUCUCUCUCUCUGCUCGACCGCCUCUCUCUCUCUGCUCGACCGUUCUUUAAUAUCUCAUCCCAGGUAAAUCACUAAUCACUCACUAAGUUUUUAUUUCCCUUUUUAUAUCUCAAAUCCGUCAGUGGAAUCGGGGGUUUCUCAAAUCCAUUUUUCCAUCAAGUUGCAAAUUUGGAGGUUUCUCUUUUGAGGUCGCAGAACCUAAUUUCUUUUGCUGAAAUUCGAGGAAGCCUAUCAGCAAUGUUUUGAGGAAUGGCAUCAAAGUCAACCCGAUUCCGAGGAUGGUAGCUCAACCCAAGUGUCACUCAACAAUGUAACUUCAAUAUGGACGCAGGUGGUUGGCGGCACAAAGAAAGGUAGAACCUACGGUCUUGGAUCAUAAUAUUCUGUAGGUCGUUCUACGACAUUGUUGUCUGGUGAUGCGAGUUAUUCGCAAGAACACGAAGAGGUAGAAGCAUUAUGAAAAGAAGUUGAAGAGUUGAAGGAGGAAAGGAAAGAAGAUCGCGCAAAUUUUAACAAAUUGCAGUCUAGUGGAGAAAUUUAUGAGCGGACGUCCAUUUGGUCCUUUGAAUGGCGAGGAUGGCGGGGAUAAUGAGUUUUAGUUUGUUAUGGUUAUUGAAUUUUUGAGACAUUAUUAUUUAUUGUAGUUGGAUGUUUAGACUUGGUAAUAUUUACACUUGACUAUGAUUGUAAUAUUUUAGACUAGAUUGAAUGGUGCCACAAUGUUUAACUCUUUUUGGA